AGCAAGGCCAGGGAUCGAACCUGCAACCUCAUGGUUCCUAGUCAGAUUUGUUAACCACUGCGCAACAAUAGGAACUUCUAGGCUGAUUUUUGAGAAACAAACAGAUAGUCAAUAUUUUAUUGCGAUCACUGAGAUCCAAAAUGAAAAUGGUCUCAGUCAAAGAAGAAACUUUGCAGACUUCAGCUGAAGUUCAGGAUCAAGAGGUAAAGUAAGGCAGUUGAAGGAGUAAACUGAAUAAUUAUAUCUUGCCCAGUUUUCAUUUGAUACCCAAAGGGAAUGAAGUUAGAAACAAAAAGGUUUGGCUUUUCUUUGGAAGUGAUCUUUCCCUGGUUGGACUGAAGGGAGCAUUAAUGAAGUGAUUCCAAGUGGAAAACGCAGGCGGCUGACCCAAGACCUGAUCAACACAGGAUCCAUUCAGUUUGAAGCCGUGAGCCUUUCCUCUGUCUGUUCUAAGACACUGCCCCAGGCAGGAUGAGAAGGUAAGGGGGUAGAAGAAUGUGAGGGAGGCAGAAAUGAACAAAUGCACAGGACAGAUGAAUUCUGGCCCCAGGAAUUGGGGAGGAGCUCGCUGGAGAAGGCUUUGGAGGAGGGGUGAGUCAGAGAGCCAGGCAGAAAUGGAAGGAUGGAAGUUAUUCCAGGAGGAGGAGACCUUGAGGACAAACGCGUGGUGAUGGAAGAUGUGCUCUGUGUUUGGUAACGCGGGUGGUAUGGCACAACCGUUGGGGUGAUGUCCAAUGACCAAGGCGUCAAAAUAUUUGGAGACCUAUGCAUGACUGAAUUACAUGCUCUGGUUCCACAUUGAUGUUUGAGUCCUGUAUCGCUUGAUCCAGGCCAGGGAGUGUUAUCUCAUACAUUACCUGUGGGUCCUGCGGGGACCACAUGGAAGUUCAUCCUUCUUCACAUCCUCUCUCUAUCCUCAGCUAAACCAGGACUGUUUCGACAAACCUCUUGGGAAGAGGAGAACUAAUACUAUGAUGUAAUCUCUAUGGAUGAGUGGUUCUUGAGAUAUAGUCAGUGAAACCCUAAGGUCCCUUUGGAAGAAGUUCAGGGUCUUCCCUGGAAGGCAGAGAGACAAAUCGAAAUGGAGGGAAAGCACUCCGCCCAUUUCAAAGAAAGUAGAUCUGUGCUAGUCUCCUUGAUAGAUCAGCUCCCUGCAUGAGGCUUUAUUUAAAAAAGAAACAAGAAAAAGAAAUUCCACACCAACCAAACAAAACACUUUCAUAUCUGAAUAUGUGGACAAUCACAGCAAACUUGUGGAAGUGGGAGGAGGCCUGUUCGGUGAGUGUGAGCAGGCAAUGAUAUUAAUUAUCAGAAUAAUUGUUUUUGUGACAUUAGGAAUUGAUUUGAAUUUGCUUAUAGAGGGGAAGUUUCAAAUCUAGAGCUAAGUAUAACUUAGAAUUGUAUAACAUUUACCCUUCUGGAAAAAACAAAUGAAAGAAUCUAUCACAUAGAAAGAGAAGAUAUAUUUCUCUUGGCUUCAGCAAGCCACUAAUAGGCAAACUUCAGUAAUAAUAUCUAUAUAUAUUGACAACGUGCUCUAUACCAACCACUGUGCUGAGUAUUUUUAUGUCCAUUCAUGUCGGGUUCUUACAACAGGUCUAUAGAGACAUUAUUGUUUUAAUCUAUAUUUCUUCAUAAUAAGGAAACAAGGCUUAGAAAAUUAAGUAACACCCCCAAAUGGCACAGUUAGUGAUAAUUAAUAAUAAGGGUAAUUAAUAACAUAGGAAUAACUGAUGGAGACUAUGUAACAAGUUUCCAAGUCACCCAAAUCCAAUUUCAAGGGCAAAUACUGUCUCUGGGACUCAAGCUCACUUGGUUAUAUUGGAAAAUUCCACAGGAAGAAAUCCAUCUGUCUGCCACAGCUACUGUAAUCUUUGGAUCUUUUGUUUCAUGACUCUUUCUUAUCUCCUGUCUGCUUUCCCCUCAUGGACUAUAAUAUAGUUUUUUUAAGCAAUGAGAUGGAUGAGAUAUACCAAGCUUUUACAUGCAAAAUAUGUGAUUUAUGGGGCUGUAAUUAUAUCUUAAUUAUUACCAAAAUUUUCUCAUUCUUUAUGACAAUCACCCUCAAAGCUUCAAAUAAAUAUAUUAAAAUUUUUAUCUUAAUUCUAUUGCCAGUCAAAUAUUCCAUUCCAGAUAUUUCAGGGCUAAGUCUCUAGUUCUUUCUUGCACCUAAUUUCUUAGCUUCAGUAACUCAUUGUUAAAUGAACAUAAUCAGGCUGGUCUUAAAGAGUGAGGGGUGACAAUGAAACAUAAUGUCUGUAAGAUAUCCCCCUUCGGGCCUGGUCCAUGAUAGGCACUUUGUGUGACAGUGGGGAUAAUAAUAUUAGUGCACAUGUCUUUCCUCUUUAUUAUAAAGUCCCCAAAGGAGAAGCUCUCCUGAUUAGUUGAUUGUACUGUUUAGUCCAGUACAAUCACUGGAUUGUAUCUAUUAUUUUGCAGGUACUGUAAAUCUGACCAUCUCGGAUUUAAGUCCACAGCACUUUCAUCACCAAGAAUUAGGAGGAAGCCUGAGGCUUGCUGGGCCAGACAUCUCAUAAUUCCAAGCAGUGGAAGCCCACCAGAAGAAAGGAGAUGAGAAGGCAAGAGCGGCCCUCGCUUUUCCAUCUCUUCCAACAUCCCCCGGGGCAGUUCUGCUCUCAGCACUCUGCCGACACUUGGGACUAGAGCUGGGCUCCAUUGGACCAGUAGGUGCAUCGUGCAGAGACUGGACAUCACAGGCUUCCCCCACACCAGGUCUGAAGGAUAAAGGUACAAACAGCUGAGAAUACAAGCCAUGGACCAGAGCCCAGUGAAGUCACUACUUUGGGGGCCCAGAACUGUCAUCACUGUCUUUGCAAGUCCACAUUUCUGGAUGCUUGUGUGGACUCCGCACACCUGCAGCAUCUGGCUCAGGGCUGAGCACUUUGACUAGAACAGACCAGUUCAAAUCCAGCUUGACCUCGGCACUGUGCAGUGGGCCGAACUUCUCUGAAGCUCAGUUUCUUUGGCUGUGAAAUGGGAGAGGCUAUAACCACUUCUGGAUGUAGCAGGCAGCAAACUUUGAUGUGCACACAAACUGCCCAGGACCUUGUUACGACACGAAUUCAAACCCGGUGAAUCUGGGAUUAAGCUUGAGAUCCUGAAUUUCUAAGAAGCUACCAGCUGAGCCACACUCAGAGUGGGGACCACCCUCAGAGUAGCAAGAUUCUCCAGCCCACCACUUUGCUGAAACACCUGCCUGCUGCCAGCCGCCAGCCCAGCUGCUGUCACUUUGCUCUGUGCCGUAAGAGGAACCCGAACCUCUGCUCCUUCAGAGCCUGUGAGCUGCCAUGGUUUUAUUCUCAGCCUCCAUCUCUGUGUCCCACUGCUCUUGCCCCACCUUUGCGGGUGUCCCUGGAACAUCCACACUCCUUUCUGCCUGGAACCCCCACAAGACUUCAAGGAUUGCAGGUUGGAGGCUUAUUGUCAUUCAUUAUCUCUUCAGUUACCUCCUGGUUUCCUUUUAACUUGUGGCUGUAGCUGUAUUCUUUCUGUGGAUUCAGUCUCUGCAGGAGCAGGAUGCAUCCAUACUUAAUGAGCUUUAUUCCUAUCUUCUGUAGUGGUAAGAAUUGAAUGAGAAUUUGAGAUAUUCUAUUUGUCAUCACUGCCUUUAGUGGAUGAACAAAGAGAAUCAUACCAUAUUUGAGCAGAGAACCAAAAGCAGAGAACAUGCAGGACAUUAGGCUUGCAGAUACUUGUCUAUAGAAAGGAGGGGAUCUGGAAAACUGUUUAAUAUCUCUCUCUACAAAAAGACGUCUGGUUUGCCCUGGGCUUGAAAUGAGUCAUGUCCACUGAAGGCUCUAAGACAGCCAUCACUCCGGCUACCCGCUUUGUGGAGGUUCUCCUCUGAGAGGGCAAAUGUCUGCUGUCAGAAUCACUACAUGCCGUUUUAUCAACCUGAGCCUGGCUGGCCUGUGACUAGCACCAGCCAUCCAACCAGAGAGAGAACAGUUGCUUACUGAAAGUGGGUGUGCUAGGAUUACAUUUUCAGGUAGUGUUUGAAAACGUGUUACUAGCAAUUCCAGAUCCAUGUUUAAUUUCUUUUUAAUUGUUAUUAAAAUAUAGUUG